UACGUAGGGUGCGAGCGUUAAUCGGAAUUACUGGGCGUAAAGCGUGCGUAGGCGGUUUCUUAAGUCUGCUGUGAAAGCCCUGGGCUCAACCUGGGAAUGACGGUGGAUACUGAGAAGCUGGAGUACGGUAGAGGAAGGUGGAAUUCCCGGUGUAGCGGUGAAAUGCGUAGAGAUCGGGAGGAACAUCAGUGGCGAAGGCGGCCUUCUGGACCAGUACUGACGCUGAGGCACGAAAGCGUGGGGAUCAAACAGG
rnacentral:rRNA from 1 species